rnacentral:rRNA from 1 species
AUGCUUCUGAAAAUUCAGCGGCAAGUUGGUAGGGAUUAUCAGAAGAAAGGUAUGAAGCACGGGAGCAUGGAAACUGAAACACAGAGCGCCAGAGAUAGAGAGGUCAAUCAGAGGAACUCGUCGAACAUGUGGUGGGCAUCCACGCACCAUGUGCGGCCUCUGCCACCACCCUUCCCUAGGGCGUUCACUCACCGCGCUACAACGGUUAUGGAAGGCGGAGCAGCGGCAGUCGCUUCCGUCCUUGGCUGUGCGGAAGAACGCUGGCGGCCGUGCAUAGGAACAGCAAGAGCAGCUUCCGCGACGUCGGCUGUGCGGAAGAAUGGCGACAACAUCAUCUUGUGCUGA